AAUAAGACCAAUAAGCAUUAGUUUCAUAGAGGAUUAGUCUUUGCGAUGUUCCUCUACAAGGUUCAAAAACGCCUUUCUGUCUUAACAUUGCUACAAGCAGUUAAAGCAAUUAAGUCAGAAUUGAAAGAGAGGGAAAAUUUGGCGUAUAGCAUCAGGUGAAGACGACAAAAGACACACGGUUGUCGCCGUGCUUCUCUGUACUAAGACCUAGUUUAAUUUAAUUACUGGUAUAAUCUGCAGUAUGUCUUUUAAAACUGCCAGUGUCAGAACCAUUAUGGAUUUCUAGAGCAUGAUCUAUUAGACGACACUGUACAACACCGAGCUCAUGUCACUGCAGCAUAUCAGCCCUGUACGUUAGCCCCCCCCGAUGUAAAUAUGCCCAUUUUACAACUGAUGUAACUUCCUGUUAUGCUUUACCUCUGCCUCUUGUAAUCACAUUUACACUGACAGUUCAAUUGUCCACCAACCCAUGCUCGUUUGUGCUCAUUUACAGACAUCUCUUCCCCCAUAUGUUAUCCAUUCGCUAAUGUUGGAUAGUUGUUCUGCCUCUGUGCAGGAGCAGUGUCAAUUUGUAUGAAUUAGUUUUCUCAAGACAUUUUUUUCUGUAUAUAAAUAUUUUAUUUUUUUGAGGGGGUGUAUAAAGUAUUCCCUGUUAUCCAUGGAAGCACUCCCCGUUAAAACCCCAGAGCUGGUAAAGGAAGAAUGCACAUGCAGUCAUUGGGUUUUGGGUUUUUGUCUGCUGUGAAGAAUUUUGACACAUAGAAGCUAUUUUUUAUUUUAUUUUUUUGCCACCCUCGACAUAUUAUUUCUGUAAUCUUCUCCUAAUCCUUCCCCCCCCCCCGUGCUACAGCUGAAUAUCUGAACAGUGGAAAUGUAUGCUCUGGAAAUGGUGUGUUUGAUGUUGUGUUCUGCUGGGUGGCACUAUCAGAUACCCACCAGCCUUGUCCUGUGGAGUUUUCUGCUACAUGUGAAAGCACUCUGAAUAUCUAUACUAGGUGGUUCACUACCUUUAUUCUCUAAAUCAACUAUUUUUUAAAUAAAGAAAAGAGUGUCACAAAAUCCCACGAUACCGUACGCUCAUUGCCUUUCAUGUUUAAUGACUCGGUGCUCUUGAUGUAUUCCCUUUUUGUGUCAAUGCCAGUUAUUUAGGCAGCAUUUAAACAGUGGUUUGAUUAUUUGGGGGGGUUGGAAGACACAACUUGGCAUUCAAAAAAUCAAAGUGGAAUCACAGCAUAUCCCAUGGUGUAUUGAAUGACAGAGAGCGCCAUUGCCGCCUUUAAAAUGGCCUCUUUUUUU